rnacentral:lncRNA from 1 species
UGGGUGUAGUCUGAAUUUUAUUUUAAUUUAUUUUUCAUCAUUUCACAGACUCCUGGGACAUUUUAAGUAUGGAUCAAGUCAAGACAAACAUGAGAUGCCUUGGUUGCUUGUCUGUAAAAAGGACCUGCCACAUUACCUGUAAUGUUGCAGAUGUUGGAGUCCCAACCCCAUGCGUCCCACUGGUCUGGAAUAACAUUUGGAGUCUGGCAGUCUGGUCCCUUUUGUAGCUCCAGAGGAUUUUUGGAGCAUGGGGAGCAUGGGAUGCAUGGAUGUACGGACCCACAAAACCCUCUGGAGAAUGCUGGCUGUGGAAAAAAGCAUCUGGAAGUUUCUACCAUCUUUUUACCCUGUUUUUUCCUGGCUCACCCUGUGUCAUUUGUGGCCCUGUCCUGAGGAUUAUAGCAUGCAGUCACUUACUGGAAUACCUCCCCAUGCAUCUUCUUGAAACGGAGCCAUUGCUUUACCCAGCUGGAAGAUAUUUUCUCUUCUCCCAGGGCUUUUCCAGUGCAGCAGCACUCCUGUCCAGCAGUCUUUGCAGAUCUCUGCUCCUGCCUGUGGCUGAAGCAACACUGCAAUGGGUCUCGGUUGACUGCAGAAAGGAGAAGGGAGGAGCAUGUCAAAGGGAGGUCAGAUCCUGCCAGGGUUUCCUGGGAAAUGAGGUUUCGCUGUAUUUUGCCUCUUCGGGGCUGAUGGGAGGAUUGUAG